AAAAUGACCUUCCCCGGGUGCAGAAGUGCAGCUUCUAAGGCAACCUGUGAAUCAGCAACGGGAGUGAAAUGUGAGUAGGGAGACCAUCACCGAUAAGGAAGAAGUGACUAAGCAGACAAGACUUUGCAGGCUGCUGCACACUAGACCUCGGGGGUCCCUGAUGUUAGGGACUGUGCCUUGGCUCUCCAUCCUGGAUGUCUAGCACUGUCUGGUGUUAGAUGAGAAAACUGGACUUCAAGAGGUGAAUACCUCACCAUAGUUACAAGAUUGCGAGUGACAGAGCAGAACUUGACUCCAGCUCUGGCGGCAGCCGAGCCUCCACCCUCUUGCUGCCACCCUUGUACGUACAAGCUGUCCAUGAAGACUGAGGCCAAGGCAGUUAGCCUGAACACCACGCUCUGGGGAUCCAAAGGCUUAAAUUGUUAACUCCCAAGCAGGUAACAUGAAGAAAAUUCCAUUUGGAGAACAAGGACUAUUAUGUCCUCUGAAUGUCUAUUCUGUGCUGUGUGGUUCUAGGAAUAGAAGAAGUUAACAAAAUGUGGCUCCUGACUCGAAACACAUGGGACAACUGCAUCUGUGAUACUGGGCAAAUGAAGGUUCUGUCUAUUGACUCUGCAUUUACUAUGAUUCUCUUUAGGA